UGUUCGCAGCUACGCCCACGGUAGUUAAUCCCGGACCAUUAACUAUAUAUCGAUUCCAAACUUCAUCAAAAUAGGUCAGCUGUUUACAGACUUUCGUAUUUGUAAUAGAUAUAAAUUUGUGAGUAACUAUAAGAGUAACUAUACUUAGAUGUAGAUCUUAGGUACUUUUUAUGCCUAAAUCACUGAACCUGCUUGGAUAAAAUUUUGGUUAUAGAUUCAGUUAAAUAGCCGGAAGCGAAAAACGUAUCUGUGACUAUUUUUAUAAAAACAUAAACAAAAUAUUUUGCCCUGUGUGGAAUAUCGAUAGUGCUACAUAUAUUCGAUAUUCGGUGCUACCAAUAGUAUUGCUGCGUGCGUCAACAUUGUGCUCACUAAGUUAUCGACAAAUGCCACAGAAGUGUUACGAUCAAGUACUGGAAGAGACAACCUGGAACCAAAAACCAGUAAACCUGAACUCUUCUUGUAAAUUAACUGGUGUGGACAAUAGCUGUGAUCUGCUGUUAAGUUCAGCUUGCCAUGAUGCAUGCAUUCUACCUACCUAAAACGUACCUAGAACGGUAUGUACAGUCAAUAACACAUCAGACUACCGAUUCAUUGCAAAUUCAUCGCUAUUACCGCGACAUAAAGAUCUAAGCAAGGUAACUUGAAAUGCAGUCGAAUGUACGUCGUACGUUCCAUAACAUCGUAAAUUUCAUGGAAAUAUUGUUGUUAGGUACCUAUAUGUGUAAAAUAGAGUUUAGAUCUAAGAAUAUAAUUAUAGCUACUCCCUAAAUAUGGAGGUUUGAUAAUACUGUUAAUUAAAUACCACAAAAUGUUAAUAAAUGCAUGUGGAAAUGUAAGCAAUGUCGCCAGAAGGUUCUGCCAUUUCUUUAAAUUAAAUUUAAAAUAUAUAGUUGCAAAUCUCCUAAUGUUGUAAUCUUAAUGCAUAUUUUUAAUAUAAUAACAUGUGUGUACUUCAUGAA